rnacentral:rRNA from 1 species
GACGAACGCUGGCGGCGUGCUUAACACAUGCAAGUCGAACGGAAAGGCCCUGCUUUUGUGGGGUGCUCGAGUGGCGAACGGGUGAGUAACACGUGAGUAACCUGCCCUUGACUUUGGGAUAACUUCAGGAAACUGGGGCUAAUACCGGAUAGGAGCUCCUGCUGCAUGGUGGGGGUUGGAAAGUUUCGGCGGUUGGGGAUGGACUCGCGGCUUAUCAGCUUGUUGGUGGGGUAGUGGCUUACCAAGGCUUUGACGGGUAGCCGGCCUGAGAGGGUGACCGGCCACAUUGGGACUGAGAUAAGGCCCAGACUACUACGGGAGGCAGCAGUGGGGAAUAUUGCACAAUGGGCGGAAGCCUGAUGCAGCAACGCCGCGUGCGGGAUGACGGCCUUCGGGUUGUAAACCGCUUUCGCCUGUGACGAAGCGUGAGUGACGGUAAUGGGUAAAGAAGCACCGGCUAACUACGUG